rnacentral:rRNA from 1 species
UACGAAGGGGGCUAGCGUUGCUCGGAAUCACUGGGCGUAAAGCGCACGUAGGCGGGUCUUUAAGUCAGGGGUGAAAUCCCGGAGCUCAACUCCGGAACUGCCUUUGAUACUGGCGAUCUCGAGUCCGGGAGAGGUGAGUGGAACUGCGAGUGUAGAGGUGAAAUUCGUAGAUAUUCGCAAGAACACCAGUGGCGAAGGCGGCUCACUGGCCCGGUACUGACGCUGAGGUGCGAAAGCGUGGGGAGCAAACAGG